GUUGAACGCUGGCGGCAUGCCUUACACAUGCAAGUCGAACGGCAGCACGGGUGCUUGCACCUGGUGGCGAGUGGCGAACGGGUGAGUAAUACAUCGGAACAUGUCCUGUAGUGGGGGAUAGCCCGGCGAAAGCCGGAUUAAUACCGCAUACGAUCUACGGAUGAAAGCGGGGGACCUUCGGGCCUCGCGCUAUAGGGUUGGCCGAUGGCUGAUUAGCUAGUUGGUGGGGUAAAGGCCUACCAAGGCGACGAUCAGUAGCUGGUCUGAGAGGACGACCAGCCACACUGGGACUGAGACACGGCCCAGACUCCUACGGGAGGCAGCAGUGGGGAAUUUUGGACAAUGGGCGAAAGCCUGAUCCAGCAAUGCCACGUGUGUGAAGAAGGCCUUCGGGUUGUAAAGCACUUUUGUCCGGAAAGAAAUCCUUGGCCCUAAUACGGUCGGGGGAUGACGGUACCGGAAGAAUAAGCACCGGCUAACUACGUG
rnacentral:rRNA from 1 species